rnacentral:rRNA from 1 species
UACAGAGGGUGCAAGCGUUGUUCGGAAUUAUUGGGCGUAAAGCGCGUGUAGGCGGCUUGGCAAGUCGGGUGUGAAAGCCUUCAGCUCAACUGAGGAAGUGCGCCCGAAACUGCUGAGCUCGAGUGCCGGAGAGGGUGGCGGAAUUCCCCAAGUAGAGGUGAAAUUCGUAGAUAUGGGGAGGAACACCGGUGGCGAAGGCGGCCACCUGGACGGUCACUGACGCUGAGACGCGAAAGCGUGGGUAGCAAACAGG